rnacentral:rRNA from 1 species
GAUGAACGCUGACAGAAUGCUUAACACAUGCAAGUCAUUGGCGAAGCUGCGCUUGCGCAGUCUAGCCAAGGCGGACGGGUGAGUAACGCGUAAGGAACUUGCCCUGCAGACAGGGAUAACAGACGGAAACGACUGAUAACACCUGGUAUUGUCAUGCUGGCGCAUGCCGGCCUGAUGAAAGGAGACGCUGCAGGAGAGCCUUGCGUCCUAUUAGCUGGUUGGUGGGGUAACGGCCCACCAAGGCGAUGAUAGGUAGCCGGCCUGAGAGGGUGAACGGCCACAAGGGGACUGAGAGACGGCCGUUAAUCCUACGGGAGGCAGCAGUGGGGAAUAGUGGACAAUGGGGGCAACCAUGAUGCAGCAAUUCUGUGUGCAAGAAGAAGGUUUUCGGAUUGUAAAGAGCUUUCAGCAGGGAAGAAGAAAGUGACGGUACCUGCAGAAGAAGCGACGGCUAAAUACGUG